rnacentral:rRNA from 1 species
UACGUAGGGUGCAAGCGUUGUCCGGAAUUAUUGGGCGUAAAGAGCUCGUAGGCGGUCUGUCGCGUCUGCUGUGAAAACUCAGGGCUUAACCCUGAGCUUGCAGUGGGUACGGGCAGACUAGAGUGCGGUAGGGGAGACUGGAAUUCCUGGUGUAGCGGUGAAAUGCGCAGAUAUCAGGAGGAACACCAAUGGCGAAGGCAGAUCUCUGGGCCGUAACUGACGCUGAGGAGCGAAAGCAUGGGGAGCGAACAGG